UACGUAGGGUGCAAGCGUUAAUCGGAAUUACUGGGCGUAAAGCGUGCGCAGGCGGUUGUGCAAGACAGGGGUGAAAUCCCCGGGCUUAACCUGGGAAUGGCCUUUGUGACUGCACGGCUAGAGUGUGUCAGAGGGGGGUAGAAUUCCACGUGUAGCAGUGAAAUGCGUAGAGAUGUGGAGGAAUACCGAUGGCGAAGGCAGCCCCCUGGGAUAACACUGACGCUCAUGCACGAAAGCGUGGGGAGCAAACAGG
rnacentral:rRNA from 1 species